CAGUAGCCGCGGUAAUACGAAGGGUGCAAGCGUUACUCGGAAUUACUGGGCGUAAAGCGUGCGUAGGUGGUGGUUUAAGUCCGUUGUGAAAGCCCUGGGCUCAACCUGGGAAUUGCAGUGGAUACUGGGUCACUAGAGUGUGGUAGAGGAUAGUGGAAUUUCCGGUGUAGCGGUGAAAUGCGUAGAUAUAGGAAGGAACACCAGUGGCGAAGGCGACCACCUGGACUGAUACUGACACUGAGGUGCGAAAGCGUGGGGAGCAAACAGGAUUAGAGACCCCUGUAGUCCCUGUCUCUUAUAC
rnacentral:rRNA from 1 species